rnacentral:tRNA from 2 species
GGAAAGGUGUCAGAGUGGUCGAAUGAGCAGUCCUGGAAAGACUGUAUACGGGAUGACUGUAUCGAGGGUUCGAAUCCCUCCCUUUCCGC